AGGAAUUUAGGUUAACUCAAGACCAAGAGCCUUCAAAGCUCUAAGUAAGUGCUAGCACUUAAUUCCUG
rnacentral:tRNA from 1 species